GGAAGGUAGUGUAUAGGAAGGUAGUGUAUAGGAAGGUAGUGUAUAGGAAGGUAGUGUAUAGGAAGGUAGUGUAUAGGAAGGUAGUGUAUAGGAAGGUAGUGUAUAGGAAGGUAGUGUAUAGUAAGGUAGUGUAUAGGAAGGUAGUGUAUAGGAAGGUAGUGUAUAGGAAGGUAGUGUAUAGGAAGGUAGUGUAUAGGAAGGUAGUGGAUAGGAAGGUAGUGUAUAGUAAGGUAGUGUAUAGUAAGGUAGUGUAUAGGAAGGUAGUGUAUAGGAAGGUAGUGUAUAGGAAGGUAGUGUAUAG